UUCUGGUUAUUUCUAUUAUCAUUGGUUUUGCUCAUUGUUGAAGGCUGUAUGGUUACCUCUAGUUGCUUUCUUCUACAUCAUAUGGUCACUGGUGGAGAGUUGUCUCAUUUGCAAUCAUUCCAUAUCGUGCAUAAGGAUACUCUGCUUAAUUUUAUGCAUUACAAGAAAUCCACAAUUUCAAUAUCAGUAUAAAUUUGAGAUAAAAUGAAAGCUCAAAUUAACAGCAACCCUAAAACAAAAAUUAAAAGUUGUAUGUUCAAUACUUUCAAUAUGUUGCAUUCAACUAUAGAGACAUGUUCACUAGAAUGUACGUUAUU
rnacentral:lncRNA from 1 species